rnacentral:tRNA from 1 species
UCCUGGUGGCUCAGAAGGUAAAGAAUCUGCCUGCAAUGCAGGACAUCCAGGUUUGACCCCUGGGUCAGGAA